rnacentral:rRNA from 1 species
GCCGGACACGGACUAUUUCGGUAGGAAGCGUGCGGAGGCUUAGUGGCGGACGGGUGAGUAACGCGUGGAUAACCUGCCGCAUACCGGGGGAUAACAGCUGGAAACAGCUGCUAAUACCGCAUAUGCCCGCAGUGCCGCAUGGCACAGCGGGGAAAACUCCGGUGGUAUGCGAUGGGUCCGCGUCUGAUUAGGCAGUUGGCGGGGUAACGGCCCACCAAACCGACGAUCAGUAGCCGGCCUGAGAGGGCGGACGGCCACACUGGGACUGAGACACGGCCCAGACUCCUGCGGGAGGCAGCAGUGGGGAAUAUUGCACAAUGGGGGAAACCCUGAUGCAGCGACGCCGCGUGAAGGAAGAAGUAUCUCGGUAUGUAAACUUCUAUCAGCAGGGAAGAAAACAGACGGUACCUGACUAAGAAGCCCCGGCUAACUACGUGCCAGCAGCCGCGGUAAUACGUAGGGGGCAAGCGUUAUCCGGAUUUACUGGGUGUAAAGGGGGCGCAGACGGCCAUGGCAAGCCCGGUGUGAAAGGCAGGGGCAUAACCCCUGGACUGCACUGGGAACUGUCAGGCUGGAGUGCCGGAGGGGUAAGCGGAAUUCCUGGUGUAGCGGUGAAAUGCGUAGAUAUCAGGAGGAACACCGGCGGCGAAGGCGGCUUACUGGACGGCAACUGACGUUGAGGCCCGAAAGCGUGGGGAGCGAACAGGAUUAGAUACCCUGGUAGUCCACGCCGUAAACGAUGUAUACCAGGUGUCGGAUAUCAAGGAUAUCCGGUGCCGAAGCAAACGCAUUAAGUAUACCACCUGGGGAGUACGUUCGCAAGAAUGAAAC